rnacentral:rRNA from 1 species
UACGGGGGGAGCAAGCGUUGUUCGGAUUUACUGGGCGUAAAGGGCGCGUAGGCGGCGUGACAAGUCACUUGUGAAAUCUCCGGGCUUAACUCGGAACGGUCAAGUGAUACUGUCGUGCUAGAGUACAGAAGGGGCAACUGGAAUUCUCGGUGUAGCGGUGAAAUGCGUAGAUAUCGAGAGGAACACCUGCGGCGAAGGCGGGUUGCUGGGCUGAUACUGACGCUGAGGUGCGAAAGCGUGGGGAGCAAACAGG